rnacentral:pre_miRNA from 1 species
AUUUCAAAGUGGAUGUGCCUGCAUGGAGCCUAGGGUCAGUGGAGGUCUCAGAGUCCCCUGCUGACCUCGGGCUCCAUGCGGGUGCGUUCACUUUGAAAU